UGGUCGGCCCACUGAUCACCACUAGGUAUGGUCGGCACACUGAUCACCACCAGGUAUGGUCGGCACACUGAUCACCACCAGGUAUGGUCGGCACACUGAUCACCACCAGGUAUGGUCGGCACACUGAUCACCACCAGGUAUGGUCGGCACACUGAUCACCACCAGGUAUGGUCGGCACACUGAUCACCACCAGGUAUGGUCGGCACACUGAUCACCACCAGGUAUGGUCGGCACACUGAUCACCACCAGGUAUGGUCGGCACACUGAUCACCACCAGGUAUGGUCGGCACACUGAUCACCACCAGGUAUGGUCGGCACACUGAUCACCACCAGGUAUGGUCGGCACACUGAUCACCACCAGGUAUGGUCGGCACACUGAUCACCACCAGGUAUGGUCGGCACACUGAUCACCACCAGGUAUGGUCGGCACACUGAUCACCACCAGGUAUGGUCGGCACACUGAUCACCACCAGGUAUGGUCGGCACACUGAUCACCACCAGGUAAGGUCGGCACACUGAUCACCACCAGGUAAGGUCGGCACACUGAUCACCACCAGGUAUGGUCGGCACACUGAUCACCACCAGGUCAGACACUCACCUGCUUCUCUCCCUUUG